UUCAGGCCGGUGAUAGUUGACGAAACCAUAACCCAAACUCUGACCUGCAAGCAGAGACGCAGAUCCGAUAAACGUCACGAUGUCAGAUUUAUCUUAAAAUAAAAAAAAAAUAGAUCGAUCGUGAGCCACAUCGUAGUAUGCAGCUUGCGAUAAAGAAGUGGCCAAUAUACGUCUCAUCGCUGACAUUUUGGAUAAUCGCAUCGAAAUGGUGAUUGAACCGUGCAAUGCCAACUUUAAUUUCCCCCCAUACGCUCUGGAAUCAAUUUUAUGAAUGGCGUAGUGACAAAUAUAUCAACGAGUAGCUGGCGAAAUGCCUGCAGCAGCGAGACCGCACAAGGACAUAGUUGAAUUAUUUUUCAACUUUACCGAGAAAAUGAUAUCAGACUUUCGUGACUUUCGAACGUCUUAACGCUAAAACAGCAGAAGUGAAUUUCAUGAGAUCAAGGAUCAUUUUAAUCAAUUGUCAAUUUUCGAAAAAAUUAAAACCUCAAUUAAAUCUA